ACGAACGCUGGCGGCGUGCCUAAUACAUGCAAGUCGAACGCUUCUUUCCUCCCGAGUGCUUGCACUCAAUUGGAAAGAGGAGUGGCGGACGGGUGAGUAACACGUGGGUAACCUACCCAUCAGAGGGGGAUAACACUUGGAACAGGUGCUAAUACCGCAUAACAGUUUAUGCCGCAUGGCAUAAGAGUGAAAGGCGCUUUCGGGUGUCGCUGAUGGAUGGACCCGCGGUGCAUUAGCUAGUUGGUGAGGUAACGGCUCACCAGGGCCACGAUGCAUAGCCGACCUGAGAGGGUGAUCGGCCACACUGGGACUGAGACACGGCCCAGACUCCUACGGGAGGCAGCAGUAGGGAAUCUUCGGCAAUGGACGAAAGUCUGACCGAGCAACGCCGCGUGAGUGAAGAAGGUUUUCGGAUCGUAAAACUCUGUUGUUAGAGAAGAACAAGGACGUUAGUAACUGAACGUCCCCUGACGGUAUCUAACCAGAAAGCCACGGCUAACUACGUG
rnacentral:rRNA from 1 species